CCUACGGGAGGCAGCAGUGGGGAAUAUUGGGCAAUGGAGGAAACUCUGACCCAGCAACGCCGCGUGAAUGAUGAAGGUCUUCGGAUUGUAAGGUUCUUUUCUAAGGGAAGAAGAAAGUGACGGUACCUUAGGAAUCAGCCUCGGCUAACUACGUGCCAGCAGCCGCGGUAAUACGUAGGAGGCAAGCGUUAUCCGGAAUGACUGGGCGUAAAGGGUGCGUAGGUGGUUUGACAAGUUGGUAGCGUAACUCCGAGGCUUAACCUCGGCACUACUACCAAAACUGUUGGACUCGAGUGCAGGAGGGGCAAAUGGAAGUCCUAGUGUAGCGGUGGAAUGCGUAGAUAUUAGGAGGAACACCAGUGGCGAAGGCGAUUUGCUGGACUGUAACUGACACUGAGGCACGAAAGCGUGGGGAGCAAACAGGAUUAGAUACCCCAGUAGUC
rnacentral:rRNA from 1 species